UACGUAGGAGGCAAGCGUUAUCCGGAGUUACUGGGCGUAAAGCGCGUGUAGGUGGAUCGGUAAGUUACUUAUAAAAGCUCCUGGCUAAACUAGGAGAGGUUGAGUGAUACUGCCAGUCUUGAAUAGAGGAGAGGUUGACGGAAUUCCGCGUGUAGUGGUGAAAUGCGUAGAGAUGCGGAAGAACACCAGUGGCGAAGGCGGUCAACUGGCCUCAUAUUGACACUCAGACGCGAAGGCAUGGGUAGCGAACGGG
rnacentral:rRNA from 1 species